GCGUUUCCUAUCCAUCCUGAUGGUGUUGGCUGUGGUGGUGGCCGUCGCCUAUGGUGGUUAUAUCCGUAGAUAUGGAGGGUUUGGCGGAGGAUUCGGUGGAUUGGGUCUAGGCCAUGGUGGAUUUGGUGGCGGGUUUGGUGGAUUUGGUGGCGGCCUUGGUGGAUUUGGUGGCGGCCUUGGUGGAUUUGGUAGAUACGGUGGUCUGUAUGGUUAGUGAUAUUAGCAGCACGUCUUCUGACGGACUCCUGGCCACGCUUAUAUCCCCUUGUUGAAUACUAGAAAUAAAUAAUUCAGAAAAUAA